ACCUAGGGGCGGGACAGUGCCUAAUACCGGCGCUAAUACUGCCUAAUAAAUAUUAGUUUCGUAAUCUUCACUGUCCACCAAAACAUUUUUUGUGUAGUAUGUCAUGAGUUUUCAUACAACAACUAACUGUCACAAAAAACGAGAGGAUGAAACACGUUAAUCGAAUACCCUGAGCUUCAACUAUCACCAGCAAUGAUGAAGGUUUUGAGAACCUAUGGCACCGUGCUGAGAGAAAUAAAGUAGAUGGCUCCAUUGGAUGGGAUUAACAAGUUUCUGUGCUGGUUCUAGAUCAUGAUGCUCCUGAAAAAGAUGUGUUUCUGAUGAUAACCCUGGGCGUAUUGGCGAAUCAUAUAUUUCUGUUGUUGGCAAACUUCGAAGUAUAUUAGAUACAAAUAAACUUAAUUUGGAAAUUGA